rnacentral:rRNA from 1 species
UACAGAGGGUGCAAGCGUUGUUCGGAAUUAUUGGGCGUAAAGGGCGCGUAGGCGGUGCGGUAAGUCCGCAGUGAAAUCUCUGGGCUCAACUCAGAGUCUGCUGUGGAAACUGCCGUGCUUGAGUGUGGGAGAGGUGAGUGGAAUUCCCGGUGUAGCGGUGAAAUGCGCAGAUAUCAGGAAGAACACCCGUGGCGAAAGCGGCUCUCUGGAAACGGUACUGACGCUGAGACGCGAAAGCGUGGGGGAGCGAACAGG